CGUUGAAACACCGGUUCUCCUUCCGAACAUCGAAAUUAAGCAAUGUCGAGCCUGGUCAGUACUAAGAUGGGUGACCUAUUCGGAAUGUCAAGUGUUGUAA